rnacentral:rRNA from 1 species
UACGGGGGGAGCAAGCGUUGUUCGGAUUUACUGGGCGUAAAGGGCGCGUAGGCGGCCAGCACAAGUCAGUUGUGAAAUCUCCGAGCUUAACUCGGAAAGGUCAACUGAUACUGUGCGGCUAGAGUGCGGAAGGGGCAACUGGAAUUCUUGGUGUAGCGGUGAAAUGCGUAGAGAUCGGGAGGAACACCAGAGGCGAAAGCGGCGACCUGGACAGGUACUGACACUCAACUACGAAAGCGUGGGGAGCAAACAGG